rnacentral:tRNA from 1 species
AUGAGUAUUGCUUAAUUGGUUAAUGCCUUCGCCUUCCAAGUGAAUGAUCCCAGUUCGAGCCUGGGUACUCAUA